AACGAACGCUGGCGGCAGGCCUAACACAUGCAAGUCGAACGCCCUAGCAAUAGGGAGUGGCAGACGGGUGAGUAACGCGUGGGAACCUUCCCAUUGGUACGGAAUAGCCCAGGGAAACUUGGAGUAAUACCGUAUAAGCCCGAAAGGGGAAAGAUUUAUCGCCGAUGGAUGGGCCCGCGUAGGAUUAGCUAGUUGGUGAGGUAAUGGCUCACCAAGGCGACGAUCCUUAGCUGGUCUGAGAGGACGAUCAGCCACACUGGGACUGAGACACGGCCCAGACUCCUACGGGAGGCAGCAGUGGGGAAUAUUGGACAAUGGGCGCAAGCCUGAUCCAGCCAUGCCGCGUGAGUGACGAAGGCCUUAGGGUUGUAAAGCUCUUUUGGCGGGGACGAUAAUGACGGUACCCGCAGAAUAAGCCCCGGCUAACUUCGUGCCAGCCGCCGCGGUAAGAC
rnacentral:rRNA from 1 species